AUAAGCGGAGGAAAAGAAACCAACAGGGAUUGCCCCAGUAACGGCGAGUGAAGCGGCAAUAGCUCAAAUUUGAAAUCUGGCUCCUUUGGGGCCCGAGUUGUAAUUUGGAGAGGGUGCUUUGGUGUUGGCAGCAGCCUAAGUUCCUUGGAACAGGUCAUCAUAGAGGGUGAGAAUCCCGUAUGUGGCUGGUUGUCUUCACCGUGUAAAGCCCCUUCGACGAGUCGAGUUGUUUGGGAAUGCAGCUCUAAAUGGGAGGUAAAUUUCUUCUAAAGCUAAAUAUUGGCCAGAGACCGAUAGCGCACAAGUAGAGUGAUCGAAAGAUGAAAAGCACUUUGGAAAGAGAGUCAAAAAGCACGUGAAAUUGUUGAAAGGGAAGCGCUUGCAGCCAGACGUGCCUGUAGUUGCUCACCUGGGGAUUUCCCCAGUGCACUCUUCUAUAGGCAGGCCAGCAUCAGUCCGGGCGGUUGGAGAAAGGCCUGUGUCACGUAGCUGCUUUCGGGCAGUGUUAUAGGGCAGGUGGAAUACGACCAGCCUGGACUGAGGUCCGCGCAUCUGCUAGGAUGCUGGCGUAAUGGCUGUAAGCGGCCCGUCUUGAAACACGGACCAAGGAGUCUAACAUCUAUGCGAGUGUUUGGGUGUCAAGCCCGAGCGCGCAAUGAAAGUGAACGGAGGUGGGAACCCUCGGGUGCACCAUCGACCGAUCCUGAUGUCUUCGGAUGGAUUUGAGUAAGAGCAUAGCUGUUGGGACCCGAAAGAUGGUGAACUAUGCCUGAAUAGGGUGAAGCCAGAGGAAACUCUGGUGGAGGCUCGCAGCGGUUCUGACGUGCAAAUCGAUCGUCAAAUUUGGGCAUAGGGGCGAAAGACUAAUCGAACUAUCUAGUAGCUGGUUCCUGCCGAAGUUUCCCUCAGGAUAGCAGUAACGUUUUCAGUUUUAUGAGGUAAAGCGAAUGAUUAGAGGCCUGGGGGCUGAAACAGCCUUCACCUAUUCUCAAACUUUAAAUAUGUAAGAAGUCCUUGUUUCUUC
rnacentral:rRNA from 1 species